UUUAUUGGUGCUUUUCACUUGUUCUUGGUUUUCCAUUCAUAAGUACUGCUUUCAUUGGAUAACUGAAAACCUCGUUUUGGUUGGAAACAUAAUCAUGCCAAACCCCACAUAAAUGGAUGUAAAGAAUUUGGAAAUAACUACUGAUGAGAUCCAAUGUUUAUGAAUGCAGGGAUCCAAGGCCUGGCUCUGAAGCACAAAGGGAUGGAGCACUGACUGAGACUCGGGCAACUGCGGUUCAGUUAGCUGCACUGGUACUUAUGAAGCCAGAUGUGCUGAUUUAUAAAGAUGGAAGAGGUUUAAUCAAUACUACUUUGUAUAAGAAACAAUGUAAAAAGAAUGCAAUACUCCAAAGAUCGAGAAUGAAUCCACAUUUUGUGCAUAAGAAUGUUUUAAAAAGUCAGUUUAUAAGAGUUGCAAGACUUGUGAAUUAUGACUAACUUUUGUCAAAUGGAUUUAUUGAAUGUGCAAUGAUGUCCUAGGGCGAGGCUGUGCACCUACUGAAAUUGUUAGUUAUUUGUGAUUUUAUGUCGAAUACACAAACUGCAGCAAAAUCAUAUUUCGGUAAGGGUUCGGCUGAAGUGAGUAGUAGACAAGCAGUUGGACAUCAUUCUCCUAGGGCUUUACCUGCUUAUUCAAGUGAUAUUAAUGAUGUAUGUAAUAUUAGGAAAAUCAGUGUAUUCUAACUGUUAAUGAUGAUUUUUAGGAAAUUACUUGGUGAUAGACCAGUGCUCUGUUUUAAAGUAAGAGAGCGCUUAAAGUUUUGCUGCAGACCUUUUGAUCGGUGCACUACAAUCUCACAAUGUAAGAGGAUGCUCCCAUGUAAUGAUUGUAAUGUACGCAGCUCUGUUUCUGGCACAUCAUGCUUUGUACAUCCAGAUACUGGCAAAUAUUAUAUUUUUGAUUUGUUUGCAGAUUAUAAAAGUACUAAUUAUGUUUAUUUAGUGGUAUGUGUAGUCUGACAGUGUUUUUGGAUUGGUAAAAAUAACCAUUCCUUCAAGGAAUAUGUGAUAGAACACUUAAAUAAUAUUAAGAAAGGUAGACCAUGAAACACUUUUGCAAAACUAGUCUUUUGAUGUUAGUCAAAGGUUUACAUUUUCUGCUAUGCAACUUGUGUAAAUAGGUUUGAAAUGUGGAGACCAUGUUAACAGGACAGAAUGUGCCAGGUUUAAAUGGGAUUUUAGAAUUACGACCAGAUUGUGGAGUGGGUUUGAAUGAUACUGCUCUUUUAAAACCCGUCCUUAGAUUAUGAGACUUAUUUUGGUGAUAUAAUGUUACUAUUGGCUUAUUUAAAAUGUGUUCUUAUUUGUUUUAUGUUUUCUGAAAAAGUGUCUUGAAUGGAGUGAAAAUACUUACUUUUUUGAAUAAAAGCCUUUUUAAUUAUA